CGAGUGAAGCGGGAAAAGCUCAAAUUUAAAAUCUGGCGGUCUUCGGCCGUCCGAGUUGUAAUCUGGAGAAGCGUCUUCCGCGCUGGACCGUGUACAGUCUCUCGGAAAGAGCGUCAUAGAGGGUGAGAAUCCCGUCUUUGACACGGACUACCAGUGCUUUGUGAUGCGCUCUCGAUGAGUCGAGUUGUUUGGGAAUGCAGCUCAAAAUGGGUGGUAAAUUCCAUCUAAAGCUAAAUAUUGGCGAGAGACCGAUAGCGAACAAGUACCGUGAGGGAAAGAUGAAAAGCACUUUGGAAAGAGAGUUAAACAGUACGUGAAAUUGCUGAAAGGGAAACGCUUGAAGUCAGUCGCGUUUGCUAGAACUCAGCCUUGCUUCGGUGAGGUGCACUUUCUAGUGAACGGGCCAGCAUCAGUUUUGGCUGCCGGACAAAGGCCUCGGGAAUGUGGCACCUUCGGGUGUGUUAUAGCCCUUGGUCGUAUACGGUGGCUGGGACUGAGGAUCUCAGCACGCCUUCAUGGCGGGGGUUCGCCCACCUUCGUGCUUAGGAUGCUGGCGUAAUGGCUUUAAACGACCC
rnacentral:rRNA from 1 species